GAUGAACGCUGGCGGCGUGCCUAAUACAUGCAAGUCGAGCGAACGGACGAGAAGCUUGCUUUUCUGAUGUUAGCGGCGGACGGGUGAGUAACACGUGGAUAACCUACCUAUAAGACUGGGAUAACUUCGGGAAACCGGAGCUAAUACCGGAUAAUAUUUUGAACCGCAUGGUUCAAAAGUGAAAGACGGUCUUGCUGUCACUUAUAGAUGGAUCCGCGCUGCAUUAGCUAGUUGGUAAGGUAACGGCUUACCAAGGCAACGAUGCAUAGCCGACCUGAGAGGGUGAUCGGCCACACUGGAACUGAGACACGGUCCAGACUCCUACGGGAGGCAGCAGUAGGGAAUCUUCCGCAAUGGGCGAAAGCCUGACGGAGCAACGCCGCGUGAGUGAUGAAGGUCUUCGGAUCGUAAAACUCUGUUAUUAGGGAAGAACAAAUGUGUAAGUAACUGUGCACAUCUUGACGGUACCUAAUCAGAAAGCCACGGCUAACUACGUG
rnacentral:rRNA from 1 species